AAAUUGGAAAGGAUACAGAGAAGAUUAGCAUGGCCCCUGUGCAAGGCUGAUAAGCACAAAUCAAGAAACAAUCCAAGUCAAU
rnacentral:snRNA from 1 species